rnacentral:rRNA from 1 species
UCCAGCAGUCCAAGUCGCAGCCACAUUUGUUGGGUCUAAAAUAUCCGUAGCUUGCCUUUCAAGUCUUUUGUGAAAUCGGAACUCUUAAGGUUCCGGCGCGCAUUAGAUACUGUAAGGCUUUGAGACCGGGAGGCGUAAGAAGUACACACAGGGUAACGGUAAAAUGUGCUGAUCCUGUAUGGACUAUCAGUCGCGAAGGCGUCUUACGAGAACGGUUCUGACAGUGAGGGAUGAAGGCUAGGGGCGCAAAGUG